UCAGUUCAUACCAUCGUGACUUUAGUACACGUUGUCUUUAAUCCGUUGAAAUCUCUCCAAGGAGUUAAAAAAGAUGACUAAGCUUGUUGCCUAGGCAACCGUCUUUAUGAUGAUUAACCUUUUCACUUCACAGCCACAUGGAACUUGGGUGCAGAUUUACAAAUAACUGGAGUUAUAAAGUGGCAGUGUCUGUGUCAAAAGCCUUCAUACAGGAUGCUUUUUCCUUGCGGUGCCCACGAGACACCUGAUGCAAAUACGUCAAGGAAGGAAGAGUUUGUUUGCAUUGCAGUUGGAAGAACAACCCACUGCGAUUUAAAAGGAGCAGACGUGAUGAAAACACAGCAAAUGGAAGACUGUUUUCUCAGUUCUCGGUUUUGAGAAGCACUGUCAGGGUCUAUCUAAGUCUGAGAUACUCAUGCAGUUCUGCGAUGUCAUGUGGGAGACUCUAACAGAAGAGACCAACAGCUCUGAGGGACCAUCAGGAUGAAAGAUGGGCACUGCUCUAUUGCUGUGAAGAGACACCAUGACCAGGGCAACUCUUAUAAAAGAAAGCAUUUAAUUGAGGGCCUGCUUACACUUUCGGAGGGCCUAUCAGCGUACUGCCAUGGAAGGGGAACUCACUAAUGGUUGAUGAGGGAGUAGAAAGGAUAAUCUCACCUGUCAACUUGACUGCAUCCAGAAUCAACUAAAAAUACCAGGAGCCGGGUAUUUCUGUGAAGGAUUUUUCUUCAUCAGCUUCCUCUGUAGAAGUGACUUCGUUUGGAAAAUGAAAAGCUGGCUUCUGCUGAAUAGUUGGUGCCAUCCGAGCCUGUCCAAAAUCCCUCUGAAAUGUCAUUUUAAAUAGAAGACGGGAAAAUGUCAAAUUCCAAUUAUAGGAACUACACUUAGGCGGCUACUUUACAUAUUAAGGUAAAAA